rnacentral:rRNA from 1 species
CCUACGGGAGGCAGCAGUGAGGAAUAUUGGUCAAUGGACGCAAGUCUGAACCAGCCAUGCCGCGUGCAGGAAGACGGCUCUAUGAGUUGUAAACUGCUUUUGUACGAGGGUAAACGCAGAUACGCGUAUCUGUCUGAAAGUAUCGUACGAAUAAGGAUCGGCUAACUCCGUGCCAGCAGCCGCGGUAAUACGGAGGAUUCAAGCGUUAUCCGGAUUUAUUGGGUUUAAAGGGUGCGUAGGCGGUCGGAUAAGUUAGAGGUGAAAUCCCGAGGCUCAACUUCGGAAUUGCCUCUGAUACUGUUCGGCUAGAGAGUAGUUGCGGUAGGCGGAAUGUAUGGUGUAGCGGUGAAAUGCUUAGAGAUCAUACAGAACACCGAUUGCGAAGGCAGCUUACCGGCGCCCAACUGACGCUGAAGCACGAAAGCGUGGGUAUCGAACAGGAUUAGAUACCCCUGUAGUC